rnacentral:rRNA from 1 species
GACGAACGCUGGCGGCGUGCUUAACACAUGCAAGUCGAACGGUGAAGCGCCUUCCUUUUUGGUGGGUGUGGAUGAGUGGCGAACGGGUGAGUAACACGUGAGUAACCUGCCCCCUUCUUCUGGAUAACCGCAUGAAAGUGUGGCUAAUACGGGAUAUUCUGGGUCUGUCGCAUGAUGGGUCUGGGAAAGAUAUUGUUUCGGUGGGGGAUGGGCUCGCGGCCUAUCAGCUUGUUGGUGGGGUGAUGGCCUACCAAGGCGGUGACGGGUAGCCGGCCUGAGAGGGUGGACGGUCACACUGGUACUGAGACACGGCCCAGACUCCUACGGGAGGCAGCAGUGGGGAAUAUUGCACAAUGGGCGCAAGCCUGAUGCAGCGACGCCGCGUGAGGGAUGGAGGCCUUCGGGUUGUUAACCUCUUUCGCCAGUGAAGCAGGCCUGCCUCGUUUGUGGGUGGGUUGACGGUAGCUGGAUAAGAAGCGCCGGCUAACUACGUG